CGGACAAGAGAGUACGUCCGCAAGGACCCGCAAGGACCCACCAGCCUGGGAUCUCCUCGUCUCACAUCUCUCCCACUCCCGAGACCUGCGUCGCCGCCGCCACCUCCGCCGCCGCCGCCGAAAUCCGCAGUGGUGCACAACCCGCCGACCCCCUUGACGCUCUCCCUCUUCUCCUUGGCCAGGUGCACUUCAAAGGCUUUGAUGCCGCGGUGGAUGGCCUUGCCGUCGGUAUCCGAGGAUCUACUCCAGUGGGACAUGUAGCCCUCUCGCUCCUCGCCUCCACCCUCGCCGGGGCCGACGCACCGAGGACAGCAACGAGGCAAGCGUCAGGUGUAACCGUGCCAAUGGCUAUGCAGAGUUCAAGUUUUUUCCACAUGUAGCAGCAACAAGAGAUGCUAUCAGAAGGCCCCAUGAGGUAUCAAGUUCACACCGGAAGAAGCUAGCCGUUUAUUGGAAGAAGCUACCAGUUCUUGUUUAUUCAUGCUGAUGUAACAUAAUUCUAAUUUGAAUUCGAUUGAUGAUAGAAAACACGGUUGUUCUGAGUAUGAAUGCCCCUUUUGACUUUUAUUUUGUUUCAGUAUUUUGUUUUUGUCAACUAUACUCGAUGCUUAUUGGUUUAAUCAAAUGGAGUUGCACCG